GACGGAGCAACGCCGCGUGAGCGAUGAAGGCCUUCGGGUAGUAAAGCUCUGUUGUUAGGGAAGAACAAGUGCUAGUUGAAUAAGCUGGCACCUUGACGGUACCUAACCAGAAAGCCACGGCUAACUACGUGCCAGCAGCCGCGGUAAUACGUAGGUGGCAAGCGUUAUCCGGAAUUAUUGGGCGUAAAGCGCGCGCAGGUGGUUUCUUAAGUCUGAUGUGAAAGCCCACGGCUCAACCGUGGAGGGUCAUUGGAAACUGGGAGACUUGAGUGCAGAAGAGGAAAGUGGAAUUCCAUGUGUAGCGGUGAAAUGCGUAGAGAUAUGGAGGAACACCAGUGGCGAAGGCGACUUUCUGGUCUGCAACUGACACUGAGGCGCGAAAGCGUGGGGAGCAAACAGGAUUAGAUACCCUGGUAGUCCACGCCGUAAACGAUGAGUGCUAAGUGUUAGAGGGUUUCCGCCCUUUAGUGCUGAAGUUAACGCAUUAAGCACUCCGCCUGGGGAGU
rnacentral:rRNA from 1 species